UCAUGAGCACACAGAUAACAACAAUGACUUCUUGCAUCACACAAUGCAUCCAUUUCUACACAUUUUUUUCUUCAUAAUAAAAAUUUAACAACCAACUAAAUUAUUCAUUCUAUUACUUUGCUUUUAAUUAACUGGCCAUGAUUACACUUCAUUAAAAACAUCAUAUUCAAGUUGAAGAAUUCAGACCACAAAUUACUUCGCUUAAGCGAUUAUUUUGAAACACAAUUCGGGAUAUAAAACACACAACUUUAUCAUUUACAGCGCAUGUAAUUUUGGUGGGUAAAAUCAUGAUACAGUAUGCAAAUGGUAUUUCAUGUAAACAACAAACCUACCACGAAGCAAAAUGAAGGAUAUGAAGGUCAGGUAUACUAAACAUGGCCAAAUGGUAAGAAAUUCAGAGGUUUGAAUCAUUAGGGCUUGGAGUUCAACAUGGUGAGUCCAAGCCCUAACCCAAAUUUGAGGGAAGCUCCCCUGCUUGACAUUGCAAUAGCCUCGACAGCUCUUUCUGAGGCAGCUUCAUUUGCGAGGUCCUCUUCAUUCGAUGCAUGGCAUGAGGUCUUCAUGCGUCUGUUCUUUUUAAGUUUUGAGUCGUGGAAAUCGUGUGCGGAAACAAUGAUGGCUCUUACAUCGACGUUUCAUCCUAGGUCACAUAGAUUUUUUUUUUUUUUUGUUUGGUUUUGUGGCCUGCAUUCGAGACUAAUUCGUGGUGACUUUUCCAGAGCACGAACAACUUGUGAUUGCUUGCGCUUCUUACUCCGCGUCCUCCCCUGGGCGUAGUACUUAAUUAUUGAAGUGUUCACGUUGGGAUGCGUUCGUUGAGAUUUAGAGCUUUGCUUUCUGCUGAUAGGAUAAAACUGUUCUUCAGUAGUCUUUUUGUGACCUCACUGAUUGCGCACUUCAGGAAACCUCGUAUUAGAGGGUUGUUUGUUAGUGCGCUUAUUAGUGUGUGUAGCGUUUCACUGACCAUCCGUAGUUGCCUGCUUACUACCUUGACAAUAUCAUCUGAGCUCCAUUUCGAUAGUCUUAUUUGCUUGCUUCCCGCCUCAACCAUGAUUCCCUAAGUUUCUGUCUUUGACGAAUCCAGUCAUAGUGGCACAGAAUGAAGUUAAUUGAGAAAACGUGGGUUCAAAACUUUCUCGGUAGUCUUUAUCCCAAAGUGCUCUCACGACAUUCUUACAAUACUUCUCCCUUACCAUACAAUGUGCCGAGUAUCUUGUAUACAACCUUUGUGUUCGAAGUGCCUGAUUGCACUGCUCACUUGAUCGUCGCCUGACGACGGGCCCCAUGGCAGGACAUUAGACCAGCAUUUUGGGAUUCUCUUGAUAAUGGUCUUAACCUACUUGCUUCAUGUCUCCCACCUACCUCAUGAUUUUAAUCUCUGUAUGCAGCCGUGUGUGCGAUAAUUCAUGUGGAAUGAUCAGCAAAUACGGCAUCAACACUUGUCCUCAUCAUCUAAGCACCUUCAAUUCAUUCAGUGAAUGAGCAUGCGGGUUCGAUUUACAGGAUCUUGCGCUGUUAUUACUAAUGCAAUGUGCAACAUCACCAAUGUGGCUUUUUGCAGCGUGAAGCCCGUAUAAGUUUGUUUCAACGUGUGCAGAUUAUAAACGAAACAUUCCAGAGCUAGAAGAGGAACGAUAACAGGGUCCAUUCAUCAACACUUUUGAGCUGUUCAGGAUCAGAAUAUUUAAACUGUAACCACCACUCUUCUUUUUUCAAAUAGACGCGAAAGCUACUGUUUUAUUUUUCUCUUUCUUAUGAACACACUCACAGUCCAUUUAUUAAUUGACCAAAUGCUUUCGUUAAACUUCCUUCAACAUAUAUCAUAAACUAUGUACCAUAUGAAAGCAAUACACACAGAAAAUUACAGUCACGUGCAUAAAUUUUUAUGUCUCGGUUUGAUUUUUUCUUCGCUGCUCAUCAGUAGAUUAUCUACAAAUUUAAUGUAUUUUUUUUUACACCUAUUCAAUCUGAAUUGCAGUCAAGGAAAAUACUGCAUUCCCA